GCCGGGGUAGCUCAGUCGGCAGAGCAACUGAUUCGUAAUCAGUAGGUCGGCGGUUCGAUUCCGCCUCCCGGCACCA
rnacentral:tRNA from 3 species